rnacentral:rRNA from 1 species
UACGUAGGGUGCGAGCGUUAAUCGGAAUUACUGGGCGUAAAGCGUGCGCAGGCGGUUCGUUGUGUCGGCGGUGAAAGCCCCGGGCUUAACCUGGGAAUGGCCGUCGAAACUGGCGAACUGGAGUGUGGCAGAGGGGGGUGGAAUUCCGCGUGUAGCAGUGAAAUGCGUAGAUAUGUGGAGGAACACCGAUGGCGAAGGCAGCCCCCUGGGCUAAGAUUGACGCUCAUGCACGAAAGCGUGGGGAGCAAACAGG